rnacentral:rRNA from 1 species
CACGGGGAGGUAGUGACGAAAAAUAACGAUACGGGACUCAUCCGAGGCCCCGUGAUCGGAAUGAGCACACUUUAAAUCCUUUAACGAGGAUCAAUUGGAGGGCAAGUCUGGUGCCAGCAGCCGCGGUAAUUCCAGCUCCAAUAGCGUAUAUUAAAGUUGCUGCGGUUAAAAAGCUCGUAGUCGAAAUUGUGUCCUCGGCCGCCGGUUCGUCGCUCGCGACGCCAACUGGCGCGCACGCUGGACGUCCAGCCGGUACAACGAACUCGCCUACGGGGUGCUCUUAACCGAGUGUCCAGGCGGGGGCCGGCAACGUUACUUUGAACAAAUUAAAGUGCUUAAAGCAGGCUAAAUUCCGCUCGCAUACACGCGCAUGGAAUAAAUGAAUAGGACCUCCGUUCUAUUUUGUUGGGUUUUUGUGGAACGACAGACGGAGGUAAUGAUCAAUGGGUGCGGAUGGGGGCAUUCGUAUUGCGACGUUAGAGGUGAAAUUCUUGGAUCGUCGCAAGACGGACUUGAGCGAAAGCAUUUGCCAAAAACGCUUUCAUCGAUCAAGAACGAAAGUUAGAGGUUCGAAGGCGAUCAGAUACCGCCCUAGUUCUAACCAUAAACGAUGCCAGCUAGCGAUCCGCCGAAGUUACUCCUAUGACUCGGCGGGCAGCUUCCGGGAAACCAAAGCUUUCGGGUUCCGGGGGAAGUAUGGUUGCAAAGCUGAAACUUAAAGGAAUUGACGGAAGGGCACCACCAGGAGUGGAGCCUGCGGCUUAAUUUGACUCAACACGGGAAACCUCACCAGGCCCGGACACCGGAAGGAUUGACAGAUUGAGAGCUCUUUCUUGAUUCGGUGGGUGGUGGUGCAUGGCCGU